rnacentral:rRNA from 1 species
GACGAACGCUGGCGGCGUGCUUAACACAUGCAAGUCGAACGGAAAGGCCCUGCUUUUGUGGGGUGCUCGAGUGGCGAACGGGUGAGUAACACGUGAGUAACCUGCCCUUGACUUUCGGAUAACUUCAGGAAACUGGGGCUAAUACCGCAUAGGAGCUCCUGCUGCAUGGUGGGGGUUGGAAAGUUUCGGCGGUUGGGGAUGGACUCGCGGCUUAUCAGCUUGUUGGUGGGGUAGUGGCUUACCAAGGCUUUGACGGAUAGCCGGCCUGAGAGGGUGACCGGCCACAUUGGGACUGAGAUACGGCCCAGACUCCUACGGGAGGCAGCAGUGGGGAAUAUGGCACAAUGGGCGGAAGCCUGAUGCAGCAACGCCGCGUGCGGGAUGACGGCCUUCGGGUUGUAAACCGCUUUCGCCUGUGACGAAGCGUGAGUGACGGUAAUGGGUAAAGAAGCACCGGCUAACUACGUG